rnacentral:rRNA from 1 species
AGCGAACGCUGGCGGCAGGCCUAACACAUGCAAGUCGAACGAACCUUUCGGGGUUAGUGGCGGACGGGUGAGUAACACGUGGGAACGUGCCUUUAGGUUCGGAAUCACUCAGGGAAACUUGUGCUAAUACCGAAUGUGCCCUUCGGGGGAAAGAGUUCUCGCCUUUAGGUCGGCCCGCGUCUGAUUAGCUGGUUGGGUAAGGUAAUGGCUCACCACGGCGACGAUCAGUAGCUGGGCUGAGAGGAGGAUCAGCCACAUUGGGACUGAGACACGGCCCAAACUCCUACGGGAGGCAGCAGUGGGGAAUCUUGCGCAAUGGGCGAAAGCCUGACGCAGCCAUGCCGCGUGAAUGAUGAAGGUCUUAGGAUUGUAAAAUUCUUUCACCGGGGACGAUAAUGACGGUACCCGGAGAAGAAGCCCCGGCUAACUUCGUG